UACAGAGGUCUCAAGCGUUGUUCGGAUUCAUUGGGCGUAAAGGGCGCGUAGGCUGCGGGGCAAGUCGGGUGUGAAAUCUCAGAGCUCAACUCUGAAACUGCACUCGAUACUGCUUUGCUUGAGGACUGGAGAGGAGAUUGGAAUUCACGGUGUAGCAGUGAAAUGCGUAGAUAUCGUGAGGAAGACCAGUGGCGAAGGCGACUUUCUGGUCUGUAACUGACACUGAGGCGCGAAAGCGUGGGGAGCAAACAGG
rnacentral:rRNA from 1 species